UACGAAGGGGGCAAGCGUUGUUCGGAAUUAUUGGGCGUAAAGGGCGCGUAGGCGGUGCGGUAAGAGUGUUGUGAAAGCCCCGGGCUCAACCUGGGAAUGGCAAUGGAUACUGGCGAGCUAGAGUGUGUCAGAGGAUGGUGGAAUUCCCGGUGUAGCGGUGAAAUGCGUAGAGAUCGGGAGGAACAUCAGUGGCGAAGGCGGCUAUCUGGACGGUUUCUGACGCUAAGACGCGAAAGCGUGGGGAGCAAACAGG
rnacentral:rRNA from 1 species